ACUCACGGUGGACGCAUCUCUGCUUUCAUCUCGGCUGAGGGUCCCCCCGUCCUGCCCUGGGAACGGCGGCAAAAGGAGAGCUUUCAGAGCCAGAUGCUCACUGUGCGUCCCACAGUGGAAGUGGCUCCGUCUUCUCCUCCUCAGGGGUCCUGAGCGGAUCUGAGCAGGGCCCGGCGGUGUGGCCACCCUGCAGGGUGUGCGUGUCAAAGCCCAACCCCCACCUGAAUUGACGAAGAAACCGGUGAGCUGGUCUAGAGGGGCUGCCUGGUGCCAACACUGGACGGAGGCCACUUGAAUGAAAGCUCUCAGCCCUGCUUCUGUCUACCGCAUGGAGAAGCUGCCCAUGGCCACAUGUGUGAGCCCUGGAGCUGGAGUCACACCCAGGUCCUCCAAAGGUGUGGGAGCCUCACGCUCUGGAAGGAUGCUCCACCCCACUGCCUUACAGACAGUGACGCAGAGUUGAUGAAGAACAUUUAACCUUGACACCCCAAAGGGCAGCUGUGAUAGGGCCCAGUGAUGAGAACCAGGAGCAGGGGGCAUCUACACCGGACUCCGGGAAGCCUGUUGUCUUAUUCAUGUAAGGUCUUCAAUAUUAUCUUGGUGCGCUAUUCAAAGUCUUCUUAUGCACACACUGUCAGCAGAACUUUGUAAGCCCCUGAGUGGUGCCUGUUUAGGUCAGCGUCGUAGUCGUCUCAAGCAGGAAAUCAGUUAAUUUCAAAAACACUUUGAUUUUUUUCACCUAGUUGAUGGCAUCUAAGUACAGCAUCUGGAUAUUUAUUACAUGUGAACUGUCAAUAGUGCUGUAGAUUCAGUUAAAAAUAAAGGCCGCCUUCAACACUGAAAUUUUGUUUUGGAGGUGAUAAAAGGAAGCCAAAGUUUGGAGGAGUGCAACACUAUGGUUAAAAAUACAGUAUUUUGACUAAAUGAAGAAACCCAUUAUUAUUGGGAAUUUUUGCGGUGCCCACAAGCUCCUAAUUGCAUUUAAACCAGCUUGAUAUGCAGCCAAUAGGGAAGGAAGGUAUAGUUGUCAAAAUGUACAAAUAUUUUUAUACACGUGCAGAAUGACUGAACUACACAAUUUCUUGCAAAGGUAUGUAAUUAAAGGAAAAAAACCUUCAGCGCAGCAGCUUGCAGUUUCUCUGCUGCUUGUUUCUGGAGCUCAGAAAUGUCUGGGCCUUUGAAGAAUUCCUGUGACGGCACUGAAUGUCCUUGAAGACGAGUCUCUAGAAUUUGGUUAUAUUUUAUUUAAACUCAUUUUGAGAUUUUUAAUCUACCUAUUCGAUAAUCAGAAUGCCAAAGCCCUUGAGCUUUUGAAUCUUUAAGAAUCGUUAAUGAUUGAAGACAAAGUUCACAGAGUUAGUACAACGAUGCUCACCCCUCAGGAAGCGAGGAG